rnacentral:lncRNA from 15 species
GAAAAAAUGAACGAGUUAAUAUGUGUUCAUUCAUAAUUGUUCUGUUACAUUAGACAGGAGGCCACAGUGCCUGCAGUGAAGUAUUUCCCAAGUGUGGAUGUGCGUACAGUAAGUUGGACAUCCUUUGACUGGAAAACAUUUGAAAACAUUUCUCUUUUCUAAUCCUGAUCUGUCUCCUUGUUGCUACUUGAUUGGCUGCAUUGACUCAGAUGAAACACAGCAGACGUGAAGUGGUUUACUGACAAAGAAACAAGGACGAUGUUCAUUUGGGGCAAAGUUAUGCAGAGUCAGAGUGUACCACAGUCAGUGGUGCCCUCGCAGUAUCAGGAUGCUUAAUUGUCACUUUGAAUUGUGGACACACUUUUCAGCAGCAACUUAAAACAACACAGUCUGUCUUUGGGCAAUUAAGGAUUUCCCUUCCUGUCCAUACAGAUCUUUCACAUUGCCGUUUCAUUGGUCAAAUAGAGUGUUUGCUGAAUACCAGUGUUUCCACUCUCCAGUAAAGCCUUUGUCUCUCUGAACAAAAUGUUUAAUAUACUAGUCACAGCUCUGGUCCACCAUAUUGCAGCUAAAACAGCUCUUAUGGCACGCUUUAAAAUCAUAGUAUUACAUUAAAAAACAGUGUUCCUAAAUGACAAUUAACAGUGAGUGAACUUCAUUAUCCAUAUUUACAUCUUUUUUUUUUGUCUUUUGACCUUGUUUAUUAAUGUAUUGUAUUCACAUGAACUACUGUAAAAAACAUACAUGAUUUAAAUUAAUAAUGGGCUACCUAAUAUCAGACCGAAGCAUAUUGCUGGACCCUCUUUACCUGGUCCAGUGGGGAAGGGUAGGGGACAGAUUUGAGUAUGAAUUUGACAGGUUGCCAAUUCUUACAUACAGUAUUGCCCCUUGGAACUGACUCAUAACGACCUCUGACCUCUGUGCUCUGUGUGAAGCCAGUAGCACUGGUUUACAUCAACCUAUCGCUUAUCUGGCUGCAGCCAAUUAUUCAUCCUACUGUGAAACAUCCAUAAAUAUGGAAUACUGAAACUACACACAUUCAUACCCACCAGAAAAUAUACUUGUACAUACAUACACACACAUGUCAUGAAAUAUAUUGACAGCAAUCAAAUAAAUCAACUAUAUGAACAUAUAUACACACAGUAUUUACCAAUUAUAAAUUAACAUUGUGCAAAUAAUCAUACAUACAAAGUCAAGUUGAGUUGAUUCUGGCAAAAUGUUUUGUGACUCAAAGAUUAAUGAAUGCUCUGCAAGAGCUUCCCUUCUUUAAAAAUAAAUGCCAUGUAUUCAGAAGCAAAUGUACCACUGCUUAUUUAGCUUUCUCUGUCGCUAGAAUGCUUACUAGAGAGGUUUUGUUCUACUUUUAGGGUGCAGAGUUUUGUUCUAAGUGUCCCCAGCCCCUGCAGACACGGAAUAAGGCUGAAUAAUAAACACUGUCUGUAGAGUAACUAGGCGCAUGCAGUCAUUAGCACAGGCUCUCUGACUUUUUGGCGUUUGCACAGUGGAGAUACUGAUGCGAUGACACUGUACAGCACGAAUCCUCGGCGAGUGAUGCACACAACUGAUGACUUAAGCUCACUAAAUCUUCGCAAUCUGCAUGCAUGACAGCCUGUAUUUAACAUCGCA